rnacentral:rRNA from 1 species
CCUACGGGUGGCAGCAGUGAGGAAUAUUGGGCAAUGGACGCGAGCCUGACCCAGCAACGCCGCGUGAAGGAAGAAGGCUUUCGGGUUGUUAACUUCUUUUUACAGGGGAGAGCAGAAGACGGUACCUGUCGAAUAAGCCACGGCUAACUACGGGCCAGCAGCCGCGGUCAUACGUAGGUGGCAAGCGUUGUCCGGAUUUCCUGGGUGUAAAGGGCGUGUAGCCGGGCUGAGAAGUCAGGUGUGAAAGCCGGGGGCUCAACCCCCGAACUGCAUUUGAAACUGUUGGUCUUGAGUAUCGGAGAGGCAGGCGGAAUUCGUAGUGUAGCGGUGAAAUGCGUAGAUAUCAGGAGGAACACCAGUGGCGAAGGCGGUCUGCUGGACGACAACUGACGGUGAGGCGCGAAAGUGUGGGGAGCAAACAGGAUUAGAUACCCGUGUAGUC